CGGAAUUUUAGAUAAUGGAGGGAACUCUGAUCUAGCGACGCCGCGUGCAGGAAGAAGGUCUUCGGAUUGUAAACUGCUGUGGUAAGGGAAAAAUGCUAUGUAGAGUGGAAAGCUACAUAGAGGGAUGGUACCUUACUAGAAAGCCCCGGCUAACUACGUGCCAGCAGCCGCGGUAAUACGUAGGGGGCGAGCGUUACCCGGAAUCACUGGGCGUAAAGGGAGCGUAGGUGGCCUAACAUGUCAACUGUGAAAACCCGGAGCUCAACUCCGGACUUGCAGUUGAAACUGGUAGGCUUGAGGACGGUAGAGGAAGACGGAACUGCCAGUGUAGGGGUAAAAUCCUUAGAUAUUGGCAGGAACGCCGGUGACGAAGGUGGUUUUCUGGGCCGGUUCUGACACUGAUGCUCGAAAGCCAGGGGAGCGAACGG
rnacentral:rRNA from 1 species